AUUGAACGCUGGCGGCAUGCCUUACACAUGCAAGUCGAACGGUAACGGGCCUUCGGGUGCCGACGAGUGGCGAACGGGUGAGUAAUGCAUCGGAACGUACCUUUCAGUGGGGGAUAACGUAGCGAAAGUUACGCUAAUACCGCAUAUUCUGUGAGCAGGAAAGCAGGGGAUCGCAAGACCUUGCGCUGAUUGAGCGGCCGAUGUCAGAUUAGCUAGUUGGUGAGGUAAAGGCUCACCAAGGCGACGGUCUGUAGCGGGUCUGAGAGGAUGAUCCGCCACACUGGAACUGAGACACGGUCCAGACUCCUACGGGAGGCAGCAGUGGGGGAAUUUUGGGACAAUGGGGGCAACCCUGAUCCGGCCAUGCCGCGUGC
rnacentral:rRNA from 1 species